ACAUCUGGCCGUGUCUUCUAUUAAUAUUUACUGAGUUUCUAUGACCUAUCAGGCGCUGAGUGAAAUACUUUACAUGUUGUGGCAGAGAAUGGCCAGAUGCUUAGCAAUCACAGUUCCUCUUCCUGGGCACAUAGGGCAACUAUAUUUCCCGGUCCCCCUUGCAGUUAAGUAGAAUAUGUGACUGGCUUUUAAGAAAUGUAAAGUUGAGUUGAUGGGUGCCACUUCCAGGCCUGGGUGCUAACUCUGUCUUUGCUAUUCUGCCAGUCAGCUGGAGGUGUCCAGUGGAGGAUUCUAAGGGGAUAGAGGGAGCUUGGGUCCCUGAAUCACCUCUUGGAGGACAGCUGUGCAGAAAAGACACCCAGUUUGCAUCAGUCUAUUGAUUGGGACACCCCAAAAUUCCAGUGGAAAAUUACCAGGACCAU